AGCAAUACAGGAAAGCGGCGAAAGGGAGAGGACAACAUAGGAAUCUGCCCUGGGGUCGGGGAUAGCGUCGGGAAACUGACGGUAAUACCCGAUAACAUCUGCGGAUCAAAGGAGCAAUUCGCCCUGGGAUGAGCCUAUGCCCCAUUAGCUAGUUGGCGGUGUAAUGGACCACCAAGGCUGUGAUGGGUAGCUGGUGUGAGAGCACGACCAGCCUCACUGGCACUGAGACACUGGCCAGACACCUACGGGUGGCUGCAGUCGAGAAUCUUCGGCAAUGGACGAAAGUCUGACCGAGCGACGCCGCGUGCGGGAUGAAGGUCUUCGGAUUGUAAACCGCUGUCGAGGGGGAUUAAGGGCAACUUGAAUGAACCCUGGAGGAAGGGGAGGCUAAGCUCGUGCCAGCAGCCGCGGUAAGACGAGCUCCCCAAACGUUAUUCGGUAUCACUGGGCUUAAAGAGUUCGUAGGCGGCGAAGUAGGUGAGGUGUGAAAGCCCUCGGCUCAACCGAGGAACUGCGCUUCAAACCGCUUUGCUAGAGGGAGAUAGGGGUAAGCGGAACAGAUGGUGGAGCGGUGAAAUGCAUUGAUAUCAUCUGGAACACCGGUGGCGAAAGCGGCUUACUGGAUCUUUUCUGACGCUGAGGAACGAAAGCUAGGGUAGCGAACGGGAUUAGAUACCCCGGUAGUCCUAGCCGUAAACGAUGAGCACUAGUCUGAGGAUCUCUCACAGUUUCUCGGACGUAGCGAAAGUGUUAAGUGCUCCGCCUGGGGAGUAUGGUCGCAAGGCUGAAACUCAAAU
rnacentral:rRNA from 1 species